rnacentral:rRNA from 1 species
AGCAGCCGCGGUAAUUCCAGCUCCAAUAGCGUAUAUUAAAGUUGUUGCAGUUAAAAAGCUCGUAGUUGAAUUUCGGGAUCAAUAUAUCGGUCAUGCUUAGGUAUGUACUGGUAUUAUUGAUUUCUCCCUUCUGAAGAACCAUGAUGUCAUUAAUUUGAUGUCGUGGGGAAUCAGGACUGUUACUUUGAAAAAAUUAGAGUGUUUAAAGCAGGCAUACGCUUGAAUACAUUAGCAUGGAAUAAUGAAAUAGGACGUUUGAUUCUAUUUUGUUGGUUUCUAGGAUCGACGUAAUGAUUAAUAGGGAUAGUUGGGGGCAUUAGUAUUCAAUUGUCAGAGGUGAAAUUCUUGGAUUUAUUGAAGACUAACUACUGCGAAAGCAUUUGCCAAGGAUGUUUUCAUUAAUCAAGAACGAAAGUUAGGGGAUCGAAGACGAUCAGAUACCGUCGUAGU